rnacentral:rRNA from 1 species
AUACGGAGGAUCCGAGCGUUAUCCGGAUUUAUUGGGUUUAAAGGGUGCGCAGGCGGCCAUUUAAGUCAGCGGUUAAAUCGUGGGGCUCAACCCCAUUCUGCCGUUGAUACUGGGUGGCUUGAUUGCGGUCGAGGUUGGCGGAAUUCGUUGUGUAGCGGUGAAAUGCAUAGAUAUGACGAAGAACACCGAUUGCGUAGGCAGCUGACCAGACCGCAAAUGACGCUCAUGCACGAAAGUGCGGGGAUCGAACAGGAUUAGAUACCCUGGUAGUCCGCACAGUAAACGAUGAAUACUUGUUUUCGGCGAUAUACUGUCGGAGGCAAAGCGAAAGCGAUAAGUAUUCCACCUGGGGAGUACGCCGGCAACGGUGAAACUCAAAUGAAUUGACGGGG